rnacentral:lncRNA from 1 species
UUGGUUGAAAGGUUUUGUUUAUUUUCUAGUGCUGACAGUACAACAGUGUGUAAAUCCUCUAGGUUUUCAUUAAGGGAGACAUUAGUUACUGCUGGAUCUUGGCAAUCCUUGUUCCAAUAAAACUGCAGACUUUUCUUUCAAGAAAGGUAGAACAGAACCCAUCAUAGGUUUGAAUGCAAAUGUAAAAAUUCCCUUCUGAAGAUAAUAAUGCUGACCUAAAGCAGGAUAAUGCCCACUAGUUACACAGAUAUCUAAUGGGAAACUGUGUUCUCUUAAGUCUUUGCUGAAUUUGGACACCUAAUACAGAAGAGCUGUGGUUAUCUUCAGAUAAAAAAAGAGGGGAUGGAAGUAUGAGCACUGACUUUCAUCUUUAGCAUUUAUUGGCUAAGUCCCCAAAAGCAGACUACAAAUUGCUGAAAUCUGAAGGAUUUUUGGACCCAUGUUUCCUCAUGACUGAUCUAGUUACUGGCAACCAGAACAAAAAAAUAAAAUCUUUAUGUGAGUAGUGGCAACAUCUUUCCUCACCAAGUCGGAGAAGAGCAGAUAAGGAAGAAACACUAAUAAGCCCCAUUAAAUGUAUUUAAUAAUUUAAUGUGAUGGGUGACAGUUUUGUGUUAUAAGGAAAAGAUCUCUUGGAUCAGAGCAAAAUUUCCCUGUAAGUGGAGUGCAGUUUCUCAGGUGGAGAAAACCAUUCAAAUUCGAUUGAAGCAGUUCAGGGAAUCUGCUUCUAUACAUGCAAAUAUAAUUACAAUGUUAAAUGACCACUGCUAUCCUGGAGUGAGGUUUUUACGUAUAGUUUCUGUAUACUCAGUCAAAAUUUAUUAAAAAGUCAAAGGGUUAUAUAUUAUUUCUUAUUGGACUCUGUUUCUGUUUUUCAGAUACAUAUAUGUGGAAGUCCAGAUUCAGUUUCAUAAUUAUUUCUUACAUGUACCAAAGAGAAAUGGUCCACCUAUAGGAACAUAAAUGAGUAUGAAGCUGUUUAAGAGGUAUGUGACAUCAGAAUGUUAAUUUAUAGCCCUUUUUUUAGGAUGCGUUCUUUGGAAUGAGCAUAGUGUGGUGGACAUCCUAUGGGCCAUACUUCUAAAGAUGUGGGAGAAAGCAAGCCGAUUGGAAAGCUGAGGAUGGUUCUAGAAGAAAGAUUGUGCCUUGAACUCUUUAGCCCGUGGAUUGCUAUACUUAAAUGUAUUUAAAAAAAAAAAAAAAAGCUAUGAAACUAGCAAAAGAUGUUUUAGAUGAUUUUCCUGUAACUUCAUAGAUUCAUUGUGCUAUAGACUUCAACAUUUUUUUUUAAUGUUGGAAAAAAUUGCUGUUUCAGUGCAUGUUUUCUGGCAAAGCAGAAUUUUGAUAUGUUAACAUCUAGUUACUGCUUUCUCAAAUAAGACACACCAAAGAAAAGAAAGAGGUUUCUUAUCCAUUACAUCUUACCAGCAUCUCUGUGCUGCCAAAUAGAAUAUUUUCAAGUUAGAUGGUUAUAAUUUUGAAGCAGUGUAAAGUAUUUUACUACAGGCAGGAGUAUUUUGAAAACAUUUAGGUGAUGCACUAGGUUUCAUAGGAAUUGAUAUGCUUUGCCUUCUAAAGGCAAACCAGAAAAAGAUUGACUCUGUUCCCUGUGACUUUUUUCCCAGGAUGUUGAAGUCCAUAAAGUCUCAUUCCA